rnacentral:rRNA from 1 species
GGCUCAGGAUGAACGCUGGCGGCGUGCCUAAUACAUGCAAGUCGAGCGAAUGGAUUGAGAGCUUGCUCUCAAGAAGUUAGCGGCGGACGGGUGAGUAACACGUGGGUAACCUGCCCAUAAGACUGGGAUAACUCCGGGAAACCGGGGCUAAUACCGGAUAACAUUUUGAACUGCAUGGUUCGAAAUUGAAAGGCGGCUUCGGCUGUCACUUAUGGAUGGACCCGCGUCGCAUUAGCUAGUUGGUGAGGUAACGGCUCACCAAGGCAACGAUGCGUAGCCGACCUGAGAGGGUGAUCGGCCACACUGGGACUGAGACACGGCCCAGACUCCUACGGGAGGCAGCAGUAGGGAAUCUUCCGCAAUGGACGAAAGUCUGACGGAGCAACGCCGCGUGAGUGAUAAGGCUUUCGGGUCGUAAAACUCUGUUGUUAGGGAAGAACAAGUGCUAGUUGAAUAAGCUGG